rnacentral:rRNA from 1 species
CCUACGGGUGGCAGCAGUGAGGAAUAUUGGUCAAUGGACGAGAGUCUGAACCAGCCAAGUAGCGUGAAGGAUGACUGCCCUAUGGGUUGUAAACUUCUUUUAUAUGGGAAUAAAAUGUUCCACGUGUGGGAUUUUGUAUGUACCAUAUGAAUAAGGAUCGGCUAACUCCGUGCCAGCAGCCGCGGUAAUACGGAGGAUCCGAGCGUUAUCCGGAUUUAUUGGGUUUAAAGGGAGCGUAGGUGGAUUGUUAAGUCAGUUGUGAAAGUUUGCGGCUCAACCGUAAAAUUGCAGUUGAAACUGGCAGUCUUGAGUACAGUAGAGGUGGGCGGAAUUCGUGGUGUAGCGGUGAAAUGCUUAGAUAUCACGAAGAACUCCGAUUGCGAAGGCAGUUCACUGGACUGCAACUGACACUGAGGCUCGAAAGUGUGGGUAUCAAACAGGAUUAGAUACUCUAGUAGUC